rnacentral:lncRNA from 1 species
ACAUUAGUGGCGCUCGUAUUUAGGCCAGUGUGACUAGGGGAUCGACUACGUGUGUUCGGUGACGAAUUGAUCGUAUCAGGCGGUGUGUCCGAGGAAGCAACGAUCAAAGAAUCAGAAUUGGUCUCAGUGUAACCAAUUCUCUCGACGAUAGUUGCAAAACUAGGCCGGUCUUCAGGGCGUGGAUGCCAACAUCGUGUCAUUAAUCCAUAAAUAGGAUCAGGGCAUCCUGCAGGUUUUUCUAAACGACCCCCUAACGUUACCAUUGUCAUAGCCUCUCUAUUAGUACAACCAGUAUAUAAACAGAAGUUGUUCCGUAAUUCAAGAUGAAACUCACCAAACAUCAGUUUUCGUAGUGAAUAUCCCAUCUAGAAAACUUUCUGGUGGCAUCCAUUUAAUCGGUAACAUCGCCUUGCCUCCUUUUCUAUAAUAAUCGCUCCUAUAGAUAUCCUUUGCCAUGCCGAAAUCAGCGAUUUUCACUAUACGACCGGGUCCCUUGGACGUGAGCAAACAAUUUCUCGCGGCGAUAUCUCGAUGAAUAAAUCGGGCCUCUUCCAUAUAUUUGCAACCGUUCGCUACGUCAAAUCCGCACAUUAUCAAAUCCUGCAUCCUCAACGAAGUGGGCCGAUCCUGCCAAAACAGGAAUAUACGCAUGCACCCCAUUGAUGACGAGCGGCAAAAAUUAAGAGUUGACCCUGUUUAAAUUGCAAUCGAGAAACGACACAUAGUUAACAAAAAGUAAUGGAACUUAAUAGAAAAAUUAAUAAACAUAAGCCUUUUGGAUGAUGUAAAAUUAUGAAAUAAGGGAACGAAAAUGGAAACAACUUAAUUUAUUAAGUUCAAAUAAAUAAAACGUAAGAUUAUUUUAAUCGUAAAGUAAUAUACAGAAAUAAUUAGAGAUUUAGAA